CACGUAGGCGGGAAUUUAAGUCAGAUGUGAAAGACCGGGGCUCAACCUCGGGGUUGCAUUUGAAACUGGAUUUCUUGAGGGCAGGAGAGGGAAGCAGAAUUCCUGGUGUAGCGGUGAAAUGCGUAGAAAUCAGGAGGAAUACCAGUGGCGAAGGCGGCUUUCUGGACUGACCCUGACGCUGAGGUGCGAAAGCGUGGGUAGCAAACAG
rnacentral:rRNA from 1 species